rnacentral:rRNA from 1 species
GUGGGGAAUUUUGGACAAUGGGCGCAAGCCUGAUCCAGCAAUGCCGCGUGCAGGAAGAAGGCCUUCGGGUUGUAAACUGCUUUUGUACGGAACGAAAAGGCUCUGGCUAAUACCUGGAGCUCAUGACGGUACCGUAAGAAUAAGCACCGGCUAACUACGUGCCAGCAGCCGCGGUAAUACGUAGGGUGCAAGCGUUAAUCGGAAUUACUGGGCGUAAAGCGUGCGCAGGCGGUUUUGUAAGACAGAGGUGAAAUCCCCGGGCUCAACCUGGGAAUUGCCUUUGUGACUGCAAGGCUGGAGUGCGGCAGAGGGGGAUGGAAUUCCGCGUGUAGCAGUGAAAUGCGUAGAUAUGCGGAGGAACACCGAUGGCGAAGGCAAUCCCCUGGGCCUGCACUGACGCUCAUGCACGAAAGCGUGGGGAGCAAACAGGAUUAGAUACCCUAGUAGUCC